rnacentral:rRNA from 1 species
CCCGAGUCGAGCGGCGAACGGGUGAGUAACACGUGGAUAACCUGCCCAGAGGUGGGGGAUAACCCGGGGAAACUCGGGCUAAUACCGCAUGAUACCGAGAGGUCAAAGGGGGCUCGCAAGGGCUCUCGCCAUUGGAGGGGUCCGCGUCCGAUUAGCUAGUUGGUAGGGUAACGGCCUACCAAGGCGACGAUCGGUAGCCGGCCUGAGAGGGUGAUCCGGCCACACUGGAACUGAGACACGGUCCAG